UGUCUUCUGCCGUGUUCGUUGUUCUGCGCUUUCAAUUGCCUUGACCCUAUAUAACGACCCCGGGCACGCGAUAUCCGGGCUGGCGAGCAAGUCCGCGUUCAGCGGAAAGCCCAAUGCCGGAAGAGCCUGCCCACCUGAUCCUCGGGAUCAAGGUCGUCAGCGCAGACGGCGACGCGGCGGAGGACGC
rnacentral:other from 1 species